CGCGCGCGUGUGUAUGUACAGUAUGUGCGUGAGUUUUUAAUUUAAAAUGUCUUAACUUAACUCGGAAGGAUCUGAAUGACAGGUCAUUUCAUCUGAGAUCAUUCCGCAUGUAACAGCUGGAAUCACUCACUGUUUCCCACAACGACACAAGUCAUCAGCCGUUUCCUCAAGGUCACGUCAGAGCGGUGAUGAUGUGGAAGAGGCAGACCAGAGGGCUGAAGAAAGUCUCCUAAAUGGCCCUGCAGAUGUUCUGACGGACUUUGGAGUGCCUUUUGGACUGUUUUAUGCCCUCUAUUUAGAGAAGACUUAAUUCUGUAUGUUCAGUCUGUAUGAUAAGUGAAUAAAGCUUUUGUUUUUAUGUGA